UCCAGGGUAGCCUAGUGGACAUGGCAUCUGCUCUGUACGUGGAUUACUGUGGAUUCGAUUCCCAUCCCUGGAC
rnacentral:tRNA from 1 species